rnacentral:rRNA from 1 species
UGCCUAACACAUGCAAGUCGAACGGGGGUAGCAAUACCCUAGUGGCGAACGGGUGAGUAACACAUAAGCAAUCUGCCCUUCACAGGGGGAUAACAGCGGGAAACUGCUGCUAAUACCGCAUAAGACCACAGUACCGCAUGGUACAGGGGUAAAAACGAAUCAGUGGUGAAGGAUGAGCUUAUGUCCCAUUAGCUAGUUGGUGAGAUAACAGCCCACCAAGGCGACGAUGGGUAGCCGACCUGAGAGGGUGAUCGGCCACACUGGAACUGAGACACGGUCCAGACUCCUACGGGAGGCAGCAGUGGGGAAUAUUGGGCAAUGGAGGAAACUCCUUACCCAGCAAUGCCGCGUGAGUGAAGAAGGUCUUCGGAUUGUAAAGCUCUUUGAUUGGGGACGAAGAAAGUGACGGUACCCAAAGAACAAGCCCCGGCUAACUACGUGCCAGCAGCAGC